rnacentral:rRNA from 1 species
GUCAUUGUAGCAAUACAAGGCAUACGGCUCAGUAACGCGUAGUCAACCUAACCUAUGGACGGGAAUAACCUCGGGAAACUGAGAAUAAUUCCCGAUAGAACAUUAUACCUGGAAUGGUUUAUGUUCCAAAUGAUUUAUCGCCGUAGGAUGGGACUGCGGCCUAUCAGUUUGUUGGUGAGGUAAUGGCCCACCAAGACUAUUACAGGUACGGGCUCUGAGAGGAGUAGCCCGGAGAUGGGUACUGAGACACGGACCCAGGCCCUAUGGGGCGCAGCAGGCGAGAAAACUUUGCAAUGUGCGAAAGCACGACAAGGUUAAUCCGAGUGAUUUGUGCUAAACGAAUCUUUUGUUAGUCCUAGAAACACUAACGAAUAAGGGGUGGGCAAGUUCUGGUGUCAGCCGCCGCGGUAAAACCAGCACCUCAAGUGGUCAGGAUGAUUAUUGGGCCUAAAGCAUCCGUAGCCGGCUCUGUAAGUUUUCGGUUAAAUCUGUACGCUCAACGUACAGGCUGCCGGGAAUACUGCAAAGCUAGGGAGUGGGAGAAGUAGACGGUACUCGGUAGGAAGUGGUAAAAUGCUUUGAUCUAUCGAUGACCACCUGUGGCGAAGGCGGUCUACUAGAACACGUCCGACGGUGAGGGAUGAAAGCUGGGGGAGCAAACCGGAUUAGAUACCCGGGUAGUCCCAGCUGUAAACUAUGCAAACUCAGUGAUGCAUUGGCUUGUGGCCAAUGCAGUGCUGCAGGGAAGCCGUUAAGUUUGCCGCCUGGGAAGUACGUACGCAAGUAUGAAACUUAAAGGAAUUGGCGGGGGAGC